UACAGAGGGGGCAAGCGUUGUUCGGAAUUACUGGGCGUAAAGGGCGCGUAGGCGGCCUGCUAAGUCGAACGUGAAAUCCCUGGGCUCAACCCAGGAACUGCGUCCGAUACUGGUUGGCUUGAAUCCGGGAGAGGGAUGUGGAAUUCCAGGUGUAGCGGUGAAAUGCGUAGAUAUCUGGAGGAACACCGGUGGCGAAGGCGACAUCCUGGACCGGUAUUGACGCUGAGGCGCGAAAGCCAGGGGAGCAAAGCGGGGAU
rnacentral:rRNA from 1 species